ACCAGCUGAGCAGCACAGGACCACACACAGUCUCAGUGAGUCAGUAGACAAAGAGGAUGGGAUGCCUGAUCUGRAGCUGGUCAAAGAGGAGACAAUAGAGAACAGACCAGAGAGUGGAAUAAAGAUCUGGGAUGAAGGUGGUUGGCUGGAAGCUAACAGAGGAGACUGGGUGGCCAUCUUGGAUUCCCAGACCCAGACUGUUGCAGCCAAGGCUCCUGUGGACAACAUCACUGAGCAGGCCAGGACCAGAGGCGACAUAGU